rnacentral:rRNA from 1 species
GAUCAUGGCUCAGGAUGAACGCUAGCUACAGGCUUAACACAUGCAAGUCGAGGGGCAGCGGGAUUGAAGCUUGCUUCAAUUGCCGGCGACCGGCGCACGGGUGAGUAACGCGUAUCCAACCUUCCGCAUACUCGGGGAUAGCCUUCUGAAAAGGAGAUUAAUACCCGAUGGUAUCAAGAGAUUGCACGAUAACUUGAUUAAAGAAUUUCGGUAUGCGAUGGGGAUGCGUUCCA